rnacentral:ncRNA from 61 species
UGAGGUAGUAGAUUGUAUAGUU